AUUGAACGCUGGCGGCAGGCCUAACACAUGCAAGUCGAGCGGAGCGGCGGACGGGUGCGUAAUACCAGGGAAUCUGCCUGGUGGUGGGGGAUAACGUUCGGAAACGGGCGCUAAUACCGCUUCCUCACAGAUGAGCCUGGGUCGGAUUAGCUAGUGGGUGGGGUAAAGGCCAACCAAGGCGACGAUCCGUAACUGGUCUGAGAGGAUGAUCAGUCACACUGGAACUGAGACACGGUCCAGACUCCUACGUGAGGCAGCAGUGGGGAAUAUUGGGCAAUGGGCGAAAGCCUGAUCCAGCCAUGCCGCGUGAGUGAAGAAGGUCUUCGGAUUGUAAAGCACUUUAAGUUGGGAGGCGUUACCAACAGAAUAAGCACCGGCUAACUGCGUGCCAGCAGCCGCGGUAAUAC
rnacentral:rRNA from 1 species